rnacentral:rRNA from 1 species
CACGUAGGUGGCAAGCGUUGUCCGGAUUUAUUGGGUUUAAAGGGUGCGUAGGCGGUUCUAUAAGUCAGUGGUGAAAUCCGGCAGCUCAACUGUCGAUGUGCCAUUGAUACUGCAGAACUUGAGUACAGACGAGGUAGGCGGAAUUGACGGUGUAGCGGUGAAAUGCUUAGAUAUCGUCAAGAACACCGAUAGCGAAGGCAGCUUACUAGACUGUAACUGACGCUGAUGCACGAAAGUGUGGGGAUCAAACAGG